AACGAACGCUGGCGGCAUGCCUAACACAUGCAAGUCGAACGAAGGCUUCGGCCUUAGUGGCGCUCGGGUGCGUAACGCGUGGGAAUCUGCCCUUUGGUUCGGAAUAACAGCUGGAAACGGCUGCUAAUACCGGAUGAUGACGAAAGUCCAAAGAUUUAUCGCCAGAGGAUGAGCCCGCGUUGGAUUAGGUAGUUGGUGGGGUAAAGGCCUACCAAGCCGACGAUCCAUAGCUGGUCUGAGAGGAUGAUCAGCCACACUGGGACUGAGACACGGCCCAGACUCCUACGGGAGGCAGCAGUGGGGAAUAUUGGGCAAUGGGCGCAAGCCUGAUCCAGCAAUGCCGCGUGAGUGAUGAAGGCCCUAGGGUUGUAAAGCUCUUUUACCCGGGAAGAUAAUGACUGUACCGGGAGAAUAAGCCCCGGCUAACUCCGUG
rnacentral:rRNA from 1 species